rnacentral:rRNA from 1 species
AACGAACGCUGGCGGCGUGGCUAAGACAUGCAAGUCGAACGGAUUAGCUAAUUGAGUAAUCGAGAAGCUAAUUAGUGGCGAAAGGGUGAGUAACGGAUAGGUAACGUACCCCGCGUUUCGGGAUAGCGUCGUUCACCUUCGGGUGAGCUACCGAAAGGGGCGGUAAUACCGAAAACAUCACUUGUCGAUAGGCAGGUGGUCAAAGAUUUAUCGACGCAGGGGCGGCCUAUCUCCUAUCAGCUUGUUGGUGAGGUAAUGGCUCACCAAGGCUGCGACGGGUAGCGGGACUGAGAGGUUGACCCGCCACAUCGGGACUGAGACACUGCCCGGACCUCCACGGAGGGCUGCAGUAACGAAUAUUGGGCAAUGGGCGAAAGCCUGACCCAGCGACGCCGCGUGCGGGAGGAAGUCUUUCGGGAUGUAAACCGCUGUCAGGGGUAAGAAAGUGCGCUUCGGCGCAUUGAUCUAACCCAGAGGAAGUCACGGCUAACUUCGUGCCAGCAGCCGCGGUAAGACGAAGGUGGCGAGCGUUGUUCGGUAUUACUGGGCUUAAAGCGUGUGUAGGCGGAACGGUAAGCGUCUUGUGAAAGCCCCUGGCUUAACCGGGGAAUUGCUGGACGAACUGUCGUUCUUGAGGCAAGCAGGGGUGCGCGGAACUCUUGGUGGAGCGGUGAUAUGCGUAGAUAUCAAGAGGAACGCCGGUGGUGAAGACGGUGCACUGGGCUUGUUCGGGGGCCUUGAUGUCCUAGUGGCAUCUUGGAACCCUUCUGACGCUGAGGCACGAAAGCGUGGGUAGCGAACGGGAUUAGAUACCCCGGUAGUCCACGCCGUAAACGAUGUCUACUAGGUUGUGGGUGUUCUGACACAUUCACGGCUGAAGCAAAAGUGUUAAGUAGACCGCCUGGGGAGACGGUCGCAAGGCU